AUUGAACGCUGGCGGCAUGCCUUACACAUGCAAGUCGAACGGCAGCAUGGAGAGCUUGCUCUCUGAUGGCGAGUGGCGAACGGGUGAGUAAUGCAUCGGAACGUACCGUGUAAUGGGGGAUAACGUAGCGAAAGUUACGCUAAUACCGCAUACGACCUGAGGGUGAAAGCAGGGGAUCGCAAGACCUUGCGUUAUACGAGCGGCCGAUGUCAGAUUAGCUAGUUGGUGAGGUAAAGGCUCACCAAGGCGACGAUCUGUAGCGGGUCUGAGAGGAGGAUGCGCCACACUGGGAAUGAGACACGGCCCAGACCCCUACGGGAGGCAGCAGUGGGUAAUGUUGGACAAUGGGGGCAACCCUGAUCCAGCCAUGCCGCGUGAGUGAAGAAGGCCUUCGGGUUGUAAAGCUCUUUCGGCCGGGAAGAAAUCGCACAGGCUAAUACUCUGUGUGGAUGACGGUACCGGCAUAAGAAGCACCGGCUAACUACGUGCCAGCCGCCGCCGUAA
rnacentral:rRNA from 1 species